rnacentral:snRNA from 1 species
GUACUCGCUUCGGUGAUACAUAUACUAAAAUUUGAAGGGUGCAGAAGAGAUUGGCAGGGUGCCUGGGCAAGGAUGGCAAACGAAAUCGUGAAGCGUACCAUACUUUU